ensembl:lncRNA
ACACACUAUGAAAGGCAGCAACAAGUUUAAUGUUCAGAAACCUAAAGUCUGUAUCAGCAGCAGGAUGGAGCUAAAAUAAAUGUUGGUUUCAGUUCUAUGAAGCUUUGAGUAUUUUGGAUCAGUAGCUGCUGUGUUUGUUGCAUCAUAUUGCUGUAACUGUUUAUAUAUUCUGAGCUAAGUUGAUCUAUAGUGUUACAUCAUAUUCUAUAAGGAUGUUGUGUGUUUAAGAUGCUUGUCUUUGAGAUGGAAUAGACAUGAAAUGAUAGGAAAUAUAAAUAAAUAUUCCUUGAAUCUUUGCUGAAGCUCAGGUGCUCUUAAGUCUUAUAACCUGACAGGUUGUGCUGUAUCCUAUGAUGUAGGAUGCUGACAGCUACAUCUGUGUGAUGAUGGUGUGGUGGGUAUAUUUACAGCUUGAUAUUCAGAUUUCAGCCUCUGCCUUUGACCCAGAGGUGACAAAGUGUAAGCGAUAAAUGUUCACUCGGUAUCUCCAGUUUCUUCUUUAAACACUCCGACUGAGUCCAACCAUGAACCUGAUCCCUGAUCUACACACGGUCAUGUUUCCACUGAGAGUCAAAGCUGAUGUUUGCAGUGGAAAACGUCUCUAAGAACAUUUGUCAGCCUUGUUGUGGAAGAUUUAAAAUAACCUGCAGACACCUCGGUGAGCAUGACUGAAGUGGGUUUAAUGAACACACUGCAAUGUGGAGGGAAACACUCCAAACACCAGGUUGGUCUCUGUGGGCUCUGCUGUAAAGGCUCGGUCGAGUUACAACAGCCACGUGGCUCCAUCUAGCUGUUUAUCAUAGGAAAGUAAGAGUAAUGUGUUUAUGUCGCACUUUCACAGAUAAAAAUCACAAUAAAACCAGAAAUAUAAAUAAACUAUGGAACAAUGAAAUAAAAACAUAAAAGACUAAUUAAUUGAACUACAGCCCGCUCCAUGUGCUUCUGCAUCCACUUCCAAACACUUUUUAAAACAGUAUGAUGGGGUGAUGAGGACAUCAAACUAGAAGUGAACAAACACUAGCACGCAGUAACAUUACACAUCUCCCAACAGGAAGACAUAUUUCAACGUUUUUGAUCCAUGUAUUGAUGUUUAUGCUGAACAGGCGUGCUGCUUUGAAAACCACAUGCAGUGUGUGACCGUGACUGGCACACUGGGACCAUGAACGCCACGUCUCUGAC